CGUAGGGACCAAGCGUUGUUCGGAUUUACUGGGCGUAAAGGGCGCGUAGGCGGCGUGUUAAGUCAGCUGUGAAAUCUCCGAGCUUAACUCGGAACGGUCAGCUGAUACUGAUGUGCUAGAGUGCAGAAGGGGCAAUCGGAAUUCUUGGUGUAGCGGUGAAAUGCGUAGAUAUCAAGAGGAACACCUGAGGUGAAGACGGGCUGCUGGGCUGACACUGACGCUGAGGCGCGAAAGCUAGGGUAGCAAACGGGAUUAGAUACCCCGGUAGUCCUAGCCCUAAACGAUGAAUACUUGGUGUCUGGAGUAAUUUAAUUCUCCGGGUGCCGUCGCUAACGUUUUAAGUAUUCCGCCUGGGGAGUACGCACGCAAGUGUG
rnacentral:rRNA from 1 species